rnacentral:rRNA from 1 species
AUUGAACGCUGGCGGCAUGCUUUACACAUGCAAGUCGAACGAGUGGCGAACGGGUGAGUACUAUAUCGGAACGUACCGAGUAAUGGGGGAUAACCAAUCGAAAGAUUGUCUAAUACCGCAUAUUAUUUGAGCGGCCGAUACCUGAUUAGCUAGUGGGGGGGGUAAAGGCCUACCACGGCGACGAUAAGUAGCGGGGCUGAGAGGACGAUGCGCCACACUGGGACUGAGACAGGGCCCAGACUCCUACGGUAGGCAGCAGGGGGGAAUUUUGGACAAUGGGGGCAACCCUGAUCCAGACAUGCGGCGGGUAUGAAGAAGGCCUUGGGGUUGUAAAGUACUUUGGUUAGGGAAGCGGUACCUAAAGAAUAAGCACCGGCUAACUACGUGCCAGCAGCCGCGGUAAUUC